AAAAAGAGUCGGUUGGCUAUGUAUGCGACACACAUCUUGUAAUUGAUGGAUGUUUUAUGGUUAUCAAGACAUAUAGCCGACAUAAUUUAUGGAUGGUAUAGAGUUGACUUGCUUGUUUAACCCUUUU